rnacentral:rRNA from 1 species
GAAGACCUGUCCUUAGUACGAGCGGACCGGGAUGGACGUACCUCUGGUGUACCAGUUGUCCUGCCAAGGGCAUGGCUGGGUAGCUAUGUACGGAAUGGAUAAGCGCUGAAAGCAUCUAAGCGCGAAGUCAACUUCAAGAUAAGAUUUCCCACCGCAAGGGUAAGACCCCAGAAAGACUAACUGGUUGAUAGGUCGAAGGUGUAAGU